CUACGGGAGGCUGCAGUGGGGAAUAUUGCACAAUGGGGGAAACCCUGAUGCAGCAACGCCGCGUGGAGGAUGACACAUUUCGGUGCGUAAACUCCUUUUAUAGGUCAAGAUAAUGACGGUAGCCUAUGAAUAAGCGCCGGCUAACUCCGUGCCAGCAGCCGCGGUAAUACGGAGGGCGCAAGCGUUACUCGGAAUCACUGGGCGUAAAGAGCAUGUAGGCGGAUUGUUAAGUUGGAAGUGAAAUCCUAUGGCUUAACCAUAGAACUGCUUCCAAAACUGAUAAUCUAGAGUAUGGGAGAGGUAGAUGGAAUUUCUGGUGUAGGGGUAAAAUCCGUAGAGAUCAGAAGGAAUACCGAUUGCGAAGGCGAUCUACUGGAACAUUACUGACGCUCAGAUGCGAAAGCGUGGGGAGCAAACAGGAUUAGAUACCCCGGUAGUC
rnacentral:rRNA from 1 species